rnacentral:rRNA from 1 species
UACGAGGGGGGGCAAGCGUUGUUCGGAAUUAUUGGGCGUAAAGGGCGCGUAGGCGGUGCGGUAAGUCACCUGUGAAACCUCUAGGCUUAACCUAGAGCCUGCAGGCGAAACUGCCGUGCUGGAGUGUGGGAGAGGUGCGUGGAAUUCCCGGUGUAGCGGUGAAAUGCGUAGAUAUCGGGGAGGAACACCUGUGGCGAAAGCGGCGCACUGGACCACAACUGACGCUGAUGAGCGAAGACUAGGGGAGCAAACAGG